rnacentral:rRNA from 1 species
UACGGAGGAUCCGAGCGUUAUCCGGAUUUAUUGGGUUUAAAGGGAGCGUAGGUGGAUUGUUAAGUCAGUUGUGAAAGUUUGCGGCUCAACCGUAAAAUUGCAGUUGAAACUGGCAGUCUUGAGUACAGUAGAUGUGGGCGGAAUUCGUGGUGUAGCGGUGAAAUGCUUAGAUAUCACGAAGAACUCCGAUUGCGAAGGCAGCUCACUGGACUGCAACUGACACUGAGGCUCGAAAGUGUGGGUGUCAAACAGG